UUUUGGGACGAGAAGACCCUAGAAGCUUUUUAAAUUAAAAAUUUUUGAAUUGGGGCAAUUGAUGAAGAUAAAGAUUUUUAUAAUAUAUAUAUAUAUAUUAUUUUAAUGUAUAUAUAUAUUAUAUAUACACACACUUAUACAAACAUAUGUAUAAAUAUAUAGAUAUAUAAUAUUUUAUUAUAAUAGGAUAAUAAGGUAUUAUAAGUUACUCUAGGGAUAACAGCGUUAUUUAAUUAAAAAGUUCUUAUUAGUAGUUAGGUUUGCGACCUCGAUGUUGAAUUAAUAAUUUAUUUUGGUGAAGGAGCUAAAAAAGGAAGUCUGUUCGACUUUUAAAUUAUUACGUGAUCUGAGUUCAGACCGGAG
rnacentral:rRNA from 1 species